UUACUGGGCGUAAAGCGCACGCAGGCGGUCUGUCAAGUCGGAUGUGAAAUCCCCGGGCUCAACCUGGGAACUGCAUUCGAAACUGGCAGGCUAGAGUCUUGUAGAGGGGGGUAGAAUUCCAGGUGUAGCGGUGAAAUGCGUAGAGAUCUGGAGGAAUACCGGUGGCGAAGGCGGCCCCCUGGACAAAGACUGACGCUCAGGUGCGAAAGCGUGGGGAGCAAACAGGAUUAGAUACCCUGGUAGUCCACGCCGUAAACGAUGUCGACUUGGAGGUUGUGCCCUUGAGGCGUGGCUUCCGGAGCUAACGCGUUAAGUCGACCGCCUGGGGAGUACGGCCGCAAGGUUAAAACUCAAAUGAAUUGACGGGGGCCCGCACAAGCGGUGGAGCAUGUGGUUUAAUUCGAUGCAACGCGAAGAACCUUACCUACUCUUGACAUCCAGAGAACUUAGCAGAGAUGCUUUGGUGCCUUCGGGAACUCUGAGACAGGUGCUGCAUGGCUGUCGUCAGCUCGUGUUGUGAAAUGUUGGGUUAAGUCCCGCAACGAGCGCAACCCUUAUCCUUUGUUGC
rnacentral:rRNA from 1 species